rnacentral:rRNA from 1 species
AUGCACGCUGGCGGCGUGCCUAAUACAUGCAAGUCGCGCUAACAGAUGAGGAGCUUGCUCCUCUGACGUUAGCGGCGGACGGGUGAGUAACACGUGGAUAACCUACCUAUAAGACUGGGAUAACUUCGGGAAACCGGAGCUAAUACCGGAUAAUAUAUUGAACCGCAUGGUUCAAUAGUGAAAGACGGUUUUGCUGUCACUUAUAGAUGGAUCCGCGCCGCAUUAGCUAGUUGGUAAGGUAACGGCUUACCAAGGCGACGAUGCGUAGCCGACCUGAGAGGGUGAUCGGCCACACUGGAACUGAGACACGGUCCAGACUCCUACGGGAGGCAGCAGUAGGGAAUCUUCCGCAAUGGGCGAAAGCCUGACGGAGCAACGCCGCGUGAGUGAUGAAGGUCUUCGGAUCGUAAAACUCUGUUAUUAGGGAAGAACAAAUGUGUAAGUAACUAUGCACGUCUUGACGGUACCUAAUCAGAAAGCCACGGCUAACUACGUG